GGCUGGAGUUUGUGCAGAGGUUUGGUGAGGUGAGGCUGGUAUUGGUUGGCAGAGCCUUGCUGAUCUAGUUACCCGAAGCUUGGCUUCCCCUACCCUCCUUACCAGCUGCAGUGAGGUUUUAAUUGGUGCCCUCCCCUUCUUUAGCGGUCUCCGAGUGGUUUCAAAGCUGUGCUGCUGCCACAAAGCACGGAGCAUGGGGCUCAGAUACAGCACAGACGAUGCAUUUGUUGUUUUCUACGUGAAAACUACGGGUCGUAAAGCUGUGGCAUCAACCAUCAAGGCAGAAAAGCUCCCAUGUGAGUCUGAGGUUCCUUCAGAUGCUGUGCCAAGGACUGAUGAAACGCUGCCUACAUCAGAAACCAACAUGGGAACUGGUGGGAUCCAGUCUGCUGCAGGAGCCCGAGAGCUGAAGGAUGAGGGGCCCCAAAGACCUGCUGUUUUCUCGGAGGACAAGGAGGAUGAGCAAGCACCUGCAGUGAACUAGGAAACUUUCUGAACUUUCAAAUGGAGAGUGUUGGGGAGUUCAGACACAGACCUGAGUAGCUGGAAUCGCAGCCAAAGGGCCAACUUCAUGUAACCAGGCCUUGAAGCUUCAGAGUUUAGCAGUGAUAGAUAUUUCCCAGUCUCAGGAAGGUAUGGUAACUGAAGAAGAUGAAAGCAGGGAGGCAA